AUGGCGCAGUUCGCGGCGCCCGUCACGGCGCGCGAGGCCUUGGAUAGUGUACAAGAGCACCGCCCAAGCGCGUCGGUCUUCCUCUGCAGCUCCGACGAGCUCCGCUUCGACGUGCCCGCCCGCGCGCUUGCGGCCGAGGAGGCCCUCCAGCCCGGGUGGCUCUACUUCGUGCUGCCCAUGUCCACGCUCCGCCGCUCACUCUCCGGGCUGGAGAUGGCCGCGCUCGCCGCCAGGGCCAGCUCGGCACUGGCCGUCGCCAGCGGCGUUGCAUCAUCCCCGCGGCGCAGGAACGGGGCCGGGGUGCCAGGCACCAACGGCAAGCGACGGAAGGCGGCGGCUCGUGCGUCGCCGGCCGGGCAGGGGCGCGCGCGGCAGCCGGGAUGGGCGAGCGACCGGCGUACUGCCGGAGCGCGAGCUUCGACUGCCUCAUGGCGCGAGCUCCGGCCCAACGACGCCGACGGGGCAACGGCUCCGGCGGCUGCUCAUCGGCGGGAGGCAGGGUCGCAGGAAAACGAGGCGAGGCAGGUGCCCUCCAUCCUCGAAAUAUUUGCCACACGCAGCACAACGGGUGUCAAGCUCCACCCCGCAUCUACAAAUAUUCAUGCACGUUGGAUGACUAUUGUGGGCGAAACGCCAUAG
rnacentral:rRNA from 1 species